CCUACGGGAGGCAGCAGUGGGGAAUAUUGGACAAUGGGCGAAAGCCUGAUCCAGCCAUGCCGCGUGUGUGAAGAAGGCCUUCGGGUUGUAAAGCACUUUCAGUGGGGAAGAAAGCCUUGGGGCUAAUACCCUCGAGGAAGGACAUCACCCACAGAAGAAGCACCGGCUAACUCCGUGCCAGCAGCCGCGGUAAUACGGAGGGUGCGAGCGUUAAUCGGAAUUACUGGGCGUAAAGCGCGCGUAGGCGGUCUGAUAAGCCGGUUGUGAAAGCCCCGGGCUCAACCUGGGAACGGCAUCCGGAACUGUCAGGCUAGAGUGCAGGAGAGGAAGGUAGAAUUCCCGGUGUAGCGGUGAAAUGCGUAGAGAUCGGGAGGAAUACCAGUGGCGAAGGCGGCCUUCUGGACUGACACUGACGCUGAGGUGCGAAAGCGUGGGUAGCAAACAGGAUUAGAUACCCUUAGUAGUC
rnacentral:rRNA from 1 species